rnacentral:lncRNA from 1 species
GUCAGCAGUUCAGCAAUUAAGUUUGGACCACACCCAGUGGUGUGUGGCUGUGUGUGUGUGUAUUUGCAUACACUUUAGCUUUUGCUCCUGCUUUUGCUUUUGGUUUCACUUUUGCUUCUCUCUCUUUUGGAAGCAGAGGCUGAAGAAGCCAUUUCCUUUGUGUCUUGCAAUGCUUAUGCCACUUGAAAUGCUUAAAAGGACAAUACUGAAUUCUGCUUGAAGCGCAACAGUCCUUGCCUGGUGAGACGAAGAAAGAAGCUAUACACCCAAUAUUCCUCAAUCAAAAGAUCUCACCAGUUGAAGAAGAAAGCUACCAAGGUUUUUUAUUGCAAUCCAGCUGGAAAGGACGUCAGCUCACGAGCCCACAAUGCAAAGGUUGCAUGCAUAUACAACAUACAAAUGACAGUCUGACGGUGAGUCACAUAUGGAGGAAGUGAAGGAAAUCUGCAUAUGGAAAAAGCAAGGUUAACUUUGCUGAAAUGGAUUUGUUUUGACCAGUUUAUAACGUAAUAGCGUAGGUGAUCUUGCAGAGUUUCAUUUUCCUGUUUGAGAAUUAAGCAAUCUGGUAGCAAAUGUAUACCAGUCUUAUCUGCAAAGACAGAUAAGUAAAGAGAAGGUGAGUUUUGCUUACUACUGGAGCGGAGCAAUUAGUUAUUUUGAAGGAUGGGGAUUUCCUUGACACACAGGACAGGAUUGAAUUUGUGGUUUGUACCUGAGCUACUAAACAGUUCAGUUUGAUAGUCUAAAAGCUGUCACAGCAGUGCAGGGGAAUCGAAUAUGGAAAUAAUAGGACUGACAAUCUGUGACAGUUAAUCUUAGUUUAAUUGCAGGUUGACUAUAGACAUACCUAAUUUGUUGUCGAAGGCUUUCAUGGCUGGAAUCACAGGGUUUGUUGUGUGUUUUCCGGGCUGUAUGGCUGUGUUCCAGAAGUAUUCUCUCCUGACAUUUCAACAACAUAUAUAGCAAGCAUCCUCAGAGGUUGUUAGGA